rnacentral:rRNA from 1 species
GAGUUCNAGAGUACUUGAAACCGUUCASGGGUAAACCUGAGAAACCCGAAAGGUCGAAAGGGGAAAUUCAUUCGCGUCUCGACCGCAGGCGUCGGAUGGUCGAGCGACGGACGGCCCCCGGGCCGUCUGCGCCUUCCUUCCGUCGAACCGGCGUCGAACGUGUGCACUUUUCCCCUAGUAGGACGUCGCGAUCCGUUGGGUGUCGGUCUAAGACUCGCGGUGGUGCCCGUGCGGACGUCUCAACGCGUUUCGCACGGACCCGCGAUGUUCCGGCCGACUCGCUCGACGGUAUAAAUAUGGCGUGGGGCCGCUACUCAGUUAGCGUUCGGCCUGCGGCAAGCCCGUGCGGUGUCGAUGGCGAUCGGACCUGGUGCCGGUCCCGUCCCCGAACGACUGUUGGCCGCGGUGUUCUCGAACAGACCUCCUCGAAACGCCUAUCGGCGACGCUAUAGCUUUGGGUACUUUCAGGACCCGUCUUGAA